UUUUACAAUUUUUCAUUUUAUGUUAUUGGUGUUAUAGAGAGAGAAAGCUAAUGUUUUGGAGAGAGAAACAACAAUUUUCAUCUUGUUCAUCUCGGGUGUGUUCAUGCUUAUUUCGAAGCUGAUUUUCGGGUGUGUUCAUGCUUCAUCUCACGUCGUCAUCUUCAUCUAGGUUGUGCUCAUGCUUGUUGAAAGCUGAUUUCUAGAGUGAGAAACAACAAUCUUCAUCAUGUUUAUCAAGAACACCAAGAACACACAGAGAGAAGCAAGUUUGAAGAUCUUCAUCGUGUUUAUCGUAUGGUUCUAGAUCCGGACGUGUUAUAGCCGCUAAAAAGCUAAGGCAGACUGUCAAAGGAAGCUCCACCAUUUUUUUAGUGCUAUGUAUUUUCGUUUACUAGUAAUAUGUAAUGUGUGACUCUUAUUGUUUUGUCUAGUACAUGAUGUUAAAACGGUAUGGACUUAAAACAUUUUGUGUUGGAGUCGCCCGUGUUUGUACUUCUGCUGUUACUAAGUUACUAUUGGAGUUUAUGUAUCCA